rnacentral:rRNA from 1 species
CUAAGGCUCCAGAGGAAGCCACGGCUAACUCUGUGCCAGCAGCCGCGGUAAUACAGAGGCGGCAAGCGUUGUUCGGAAUUAUUGGGCGUAAAGAGCACGUAGGCGGCCAUGCAAGUCAGUUGUGAAAGCCUUCCGCUUAACGGAAGAAUGCCAGCUGAUACUACAGGGCUUGAGUACGGGAGGGGAGAGUGGAACUUCUGGUGGAGCGGUGAAAUGCGUAGAUAUCAGAAGGAACGCCGGCGGCGAAAGCGACUCUCUGGCCCGAAACUGACGCUGAGUGUGCGAAAGCUAGGGGAGCAAACGGGAUUAGAUACCCCGGUAGUCCUAGCCGUAAA